ACGUGUUCAGUCACCCCUGACGCUGAGCCCAAACGUCUUCAAAUGCGGCCAGUGCCGGACACUAAAAAGGGGCGCACCGAAGGCUCCGCCAGGCCCUGGCAGAGCGAGGUGAGCCCUCCGGAAAGCGGGCUGCCGGGGCGGGGGCCGCAAACCGCUCGGGCCCUUGCGCAGCCCCGCAGCCCCCACAAACGCUGGUGUGUGUUUGUGUGUCGUCUGUGGGGGCGGAUGGGGGCAGAAGCGACGGCAGGAAAACAGUGGCGUACGUGCCAGAGGAAACCCAGCCUCCCUGGAGGGACAGAAGGGACACACAACGUUGCCCACCUAAGAGGAAAUGGAGAAGCUAAUGAGAAUAGAGAAGGAUCCGAGAAGGUGAUGAGGGAAAUGCGAACUUCCACGUCAACUUACGAGUUCGGAUGGAGGUCCAAUUAAAUCUGUAGAGUUAUUACUGGAGCUCGGGCUCUCCCCAUAAGCUGCCUGUGCAGGCAAAGCUCUCCAGAGCGGCACUGUGAGCACGCUGUAAUGUCUCAUCAUCUGCAGACCGUUUUUGUGAAAAAUAUUAAAGCACAUUUUAAUAAACUCUUGUAGGUUAUCAUUUCA